UACGUAGGCAGCGAGCGUUGUUCGGAGUUACUGGGCGUAAAGGGUGUGUAGGCGGUUGUUUAAGUUUGGUGUGAAAUCUCCCGGCUCAACUGGGAGGGUGCGCCGAAUACUGAAUGACUAGAGUGCGGGAGAGGUGAGUGGAAUUCCUGGUGUAGCGGUGAAAUGCGUAGAUAUUGGGAGGAACACCAGUGGCGAAGGCGGCUCACUGGACCGGUUCUGACGCUGAGGCGCGAAAGCGUGGGGAGCAAACGGG
rnacentral:rRNA from 1 species